CUCUGUUUCUCUCAGUAUGAAUACGUCCAGUUGAUGUCUCUACAUACAUUCUUAUCAUAUUUUGAAAGAGAUCGAAAUCUAGAAAAACGAGCGACUGAAACUAGUAAGUGACUGAAUUGGCACGUGGUGAGAGGUAUUUUGUACGGCGUCAAGAAUAUUGCACAUUCAAGCGAGGAGGAUUUCAGUACUCUGAGAUAAUGCGACACUCAGCGUGCAAAUUCCUCGCCCUUGGUAUGCUAAUGUGUUGCCUUCCUCGGACCAGAGGUAAUGAAUGUUGUGACGCAGUGUGGGACUACGUUGACGACGCAUUUGAAAUGGUCUGUUAUGAUAAGAAACUAGCGGAUGAAAGUUUUUGCUGCGGGAUCGGACCUUGUCAGGAUAAAAUCAACUGUUGUAAUUGUGAGGGAGGCUGUCGACGACCUAUUAUUGUAGAGCCACCCCCAGAACCCCGAAGUGCUAAUUUGCUGUCGAAUAGUGAACCAGAGGCUUCGUGACAGAAAAAAAUAGCUUUUUCAAUUCUGUGAGAUAUGCCCCAUGACUCAUUUUUGUUCCGUAGCAAGUAUGCUGCGAUUUUAAGCAAAGGCAUUGGUUGUGCAUGGCUCUCCGUUGAAUAAAAUGAAAUCUGUGCAACCGUUGUAAUUAUAAACGCAAUACAGAUGUUAAUUUUUUGAGUGAA